AUGGGCUGCCGCAGGAUUGCAUGCAGAGGGCUUCCUUGCUUAGUGAAGGCAGAAAGGAAAACCUUGGGAAACUCAAGACCUAAGACACAGGGUAUGGCCAGCCUUUACAAAAUAUUUUUUAAGAGUGGGAGCCGCCGCCGCCGCACUGGGAGCUCGCAGGCGCCACGUCGCCCUCGCCACCGCCUCCUGCCCGUGCGGCCUCUGAGCGUCCCCGCCACGCUCCCAACCCCACCGGCGGCCAGGGGCGCUCUCGGCCGUCCCGGGCAGUGUCCCCGCUGUGGCCUUGCGGCGAUAGCCACCAAGAUCGACAAAGAAGCUUGCUGGGCGGCGUACAACCUGGUGCGCGACGACGGCUCGUCCGUCAUCUGGGUGACUUUUAAAUAUGACGGCUCCACCAUCGUCCCCGGCGAGCAGGGAGCGGAAUACCAGCACUUCAUCCAGCAGUGCACAGAUGACGUCCGGUUGUUUGCCUUCGUGCGCUUCACCACCGGGGAUGCCAUGAGCAAGAAGCCCAAGUUCACUCUCAUCACAUGGAUCAGUGAGGACGUCAGCGGGCUGGAGCGCGCCAAAACCAGGACGGACAAGACCCUGGUCAAGGAGGUCGUAUAGAAUUUCGCUAAGGAGUUUGUGAUCAGUGAUCGGAAGGAGCUGGAGGAAGAUUUCAUCAAGAGUGAGCUGAAUAAGGCGGGCGGAGCCAUCUACGACGCCCAGAGGAGUAACCCCAGCCCCCUGCCUGCCAAAGUCAUCUGCCUGCUCCCCAGGGGAGGGGACCGCCAGCUUCAGCUACCAGCCCACCAGCCCACAAGGGAGAAAAGAAGCCAUGAGAGGCAGCGCCCGCCACCCUGUGUCUGCAGCCCCCACCUUCCUGCUUCUCACAACCCUGCUGUGUCCCAUCUCAGGACGCUCAUGGAACCUCUUUCUUUGAUCUUUUUCUUUCCUCCCCCUCUUUUUUGUUCUAAAGGAAAAUCAUUUUGAUGCAAGGUCCUGCCUACCGUCAGAUCCGAGGGGACUCCUGCAGUGACCCCUUUUCCUGGAGUUUCUGUUACAUGGGACGAGGUCCUCCUAGUGAGAUCUGCAUGGCCUCACAUUGCUUCCAGAGCCGGGGCCUGUUUUGCCAUCUUGGUUUUCUUGGGCACCACUCGGGCAGCUGGGCCAGGAGCUGUGCCCGGUGCCUGCAGCCUUCAAAAACACACACGUCCAUUCCCUAGUCAGACCCAGACCUCCUGGAAUCUGCCCCAGCCUCCCUCCUCCCACCUCCAUCCAGAGUUGCCUAAGUUGCAUGUCUGGCAGAGGCAGGAUUGCUUGGGGGUGAGGUCAGGGCUGGCUCAGACCGAAUAAGGAGAGAAGAUUUGCCUUAAAACUUGCCUGGCAGUGGCUUUACUGCACGGUCUGAAAUCACCUGUUCCCACCCUCUUGACAGGCAUUUCCUUGUGACACAGAGAAGGGCAAAGGUCUGAGCCCAGAGUUGACAGAGUACUUCAGGGUUCACUUCAGGGGCUCCCAAAGCAAUAAGGAUGCUAGGAAGAGAGGCCCAGGGUGGGGACUGGGAAUUUAAAGAUUGCUGGGAAUGGAUCAUUUAGGUUCUGGAAGCUACUGUGCAAGCUGUGAGGAUGGCUUAGGCCGCAGGGCUGAUCCACUGAGCUGGGAGCUGAGCAAAGCCUUGGUAACGGUGCGCCAAAAGCCUUCGGCUUCAAUCCUAGGCCCGCACCACACACUCAAAAGCAUCGUUGUGUUUUGUUUUUAAAGAAAGAUGAGAGUGGCUUGGUUCUUCAUGAGCACAUCUGAUAUAGCUCUUUUUCUUUCUUCCUUGCUCAUUUUGUUUUGGGGAAGAAAUCUGUACUGCGUUGGAGUUGUGAAGAACAUCUCUGCACUCAGUUGACAGAAAUAAAUGUUUUUUUUGUUUUUCAAAAAAAA